GACGAACGCUGGCGGCGUGCUUAACACAUGCAAGUCGAACGGAGCGAUUUAUUUCGGUAAAUCGCUUAGUGGCAAACGGGUGAGUAACGCGUAGGCAACCUGCCCUCGGGAUGGGGACAACGGCUCGAAAGAGCCGCUAAUACCGAAUGACGUAUCUCUCUCACAUGGGAGAGAUACUAAAGAUGGGUCAAACCAUCGCCCGAGGAUGGGCCUGCGUCUGAUUAGCCAGUUGGUGAGGUAACGGCUCACCAAAGCAACGAUCAGUAGCCGGUCUGAGAGGAUGAACGGCCACAAUGGGACUGAGACACGGCCCAUACUCCUACGGGAGGCAGCAGUGGGGAAUCUUCCGCAAUGGGCGCAAGCCUGACGGAGCAACGCCGCGUGAGUGAAGAAGGUCUUCGGAUCGUAAAGCUCUGUUGUCGGGGACGAAAGGGUAGACGAGGUAAUGCGUUUACUAAGACGGUACCCGACGA
rnacentral:rRNA from 1 species